GGCGAACGCUGGCGGCAGGCCUAACACAUGCAAGUCGAACGAACUCUUCGGAGUUAGUGGCGGACGGGUGAGUAACACGUGGGAACGUGCCUUUUGGUUCGGAAUAACUCAGGGAAACUUGUGCUAAUACCGAAUGUGCCCUUCGGGGGAAAGAUUUAUCGCCAUUAGAGCGGCCCGCGUCUGAUUAGCUAGUUGGUGAGGUAACGGCUCACCAAGGCGACGAUCAGUAGCUGGUCUGAGAGGAUGACCAGCCACACUGGGACUGAGACACGGCCCAGACUCCUACGGGAGGAAGCAGUGGGGAAUCUUGCGCAAUGGGCGAAAGCCUGACGCAGCCAUGCCGCGUGAAUGAUGAAGGUCUUAGGAUUGUAAAAUUCUUUCACCGGGGACGAUAAUGAAGGUACCCGGAGAAGAAGCCCCGGCUAACUUCGUG
rnacentral:rRNA from 1 species